CCUACGGGUGGCUGCAGUGGGGAAUAUCGGACAAUGGGGGCAACCCUGAUCCAGCCAUGCCGCGUGUGUGAAGAAGGCCCUCGGGUUGUAAAGCACUUUCAGUGAGGAAGAACGCCUGGUGGUUAAUACCCAUCAGGAAAGACAUCACUCACAGAAGAAGCACCGGCUAACUCCGUGCCAGCAGCCGCGGUAAUACGGAGGGUGCGAGCGUUAAUCGGAAUUACUGGGCGUAAAGCGCGCGUAGGUGGCUUGAUAAGCCGGUUGUGAAAGCCCCGGGCUCAACCUGGGAACGGCAUCCGGAACUGUCAAGCUAGAGUGCAGGAGAGGAAGGUAGAAUUCCCGGUGUAGCGGUGAAAUGCGUAGAGAUCGGGAGGAAUACCAGUGGCGAAGGCGGCCUUCUGGACUGACACUGACACUGAGGUGCGAAAGCGUGGGUAGCAAACAGGAUUAGAUACCCUGGUAGUC
rnacentral:rRNA from 1 species